rfam:Musa acuminata subsp. malaccensis Doubled-haploid Pahang (DH-Pahang) genomic chromosome, chr11
GUUCCCGAUGAUGCCUAUGUUGACCAUGCUAAUGCUGAAAUGUUUUGAUGAUGAUUCAUUGUACGUUAUGAGGGAAUA